UCGUGCCGGAGCGAACGCGAUAAGCAUUCCGCUGGGAGUACGGCCGCAAGGUUAAAACUCAAACGAAUUGACGGGGCCCCGCACAAGCAGCGGAGCGUGUGGUUUAAUUUCGAUGCUACACGAAGAACUUUACCUGGGUUUGACAUGUAGGUGGUAGUGAAUCGAAAGGUGAACGACCCUUCGGGGAGCCUACACAGGUGCUGCAUGGCUGUCGUCAGCUCGUGCCGUGAGGUGUCGGGUUAAGUCCCGUAACGAGCGCAACCCUUGCUCCUAGUUACAAGUGUCUAGGGGGACUGCCGGCGGAAAGCCGGAGGAAGGUGGGGAUGACGUCAAGUCAGCAUGGCCCUUAUAUCCAGGGCUACACACACGCUACAAUGGUCGGUACAAAGGGCAGCGAAACCGCGAGGCGGAGCGAAUCCGAGAAAAGCCGAUCGUAGUUCGGAUAGCAGGCUGCAACCCGCCUGCUUGAAGCUGGAGUUGCUAGUAACCGCGCGUCAGCCAUAGCGCGGUGAAUACGUUCCCGGGGCUUGUACACACCGCCCGUCACGUCAUGGGAGUCGGUGACGCCUGAAGCCGGUAGUCUAACUGGAAACAGGAGACGCUGUCGAGGGCGGGACUGGCAACUGGGACGAAGUCGUAACAAGGUAACCAAGGGCGAA
rnacentral:rRNA from 1 species